rnacentral:rRNA from 1 species
GAUGAACGCUGGCGGCGUGCCUAAUACAUGCAAGUCGAGCGAACGGACGAGAAGCUUGCUUCUCUGAUGUUAGCGGCGGACGGGUGAGUAACACGUGGAUAACCUGCCUAUAAGACUGGGAUAACUUCGGGAAACCGGAGCUAAUACCGGAUAAUAUUUUGAACCGCAUGGUUCAAACGUGAAAGACGGUCUUGCUGUCACUUAUAGAUGGAUCCGCGCUGCAUUAGCUAGUUGGUAAGGUAACGGCUUACCAAGGCAACGAUGCAUAGCCGACCUGAGAGGGUGAUCGGCCACACUGGAACUGAGACACGGUCCAGACUCCUACGGGAGGCAGCAGUAGGGAAUCUUCCGCAAUGGGCGAAAGCCUGACGGAGCAACGCCGCGUGAGUGAUGAAGGUCUUCGGAUCGUAAAACUCUGUUAUUAGGGAAGAACAUAUGUGUAAGUAACUGUGCACAUCUUGACGGUACCUAAUCAGAAAGCCACGGCUAACUACGUG